CCUACGGGAGGCAGCAGUAAGGAAUAUUGGUCAAUGGAGGCAACUCUGAACCAGCCAUGCCGCGUGCAGGAAGACGGCCCUAUGGGUUGUAAACUGCUUUUAUCUGGGAAUAAACCUAUUUACGUGUAAGUAGCUGAAUGUACCAGAAGAAUAAGGAUCGGCUAACUCCGUGCCAGCAGCCGCGGUAAUACGGAGGAUCCAAGCGUUAUCCGGAUUUAUUGGGUUUAAAGGGUGCGUAGGCGGCAGUUUAAGUCAGAGGUGAAAGACGGUAGCUCAACUAUCGCAGUGCCUUUGAUACUGAAUUGCUUGAAUGAACUAGAGGUAGGCGGAAUGAGACAAGUAGCGGUGAAAUGCAUAGAUAUGUCUCAGAACACCGAUUGCGAAGGCAGCUUACUAUGGUUUUAUUGACGCUGAGGCACGAAAGCGUGGGGAUCAAACAGGAUUAGAUACCCUGGUAGUCCACGCCCUAAACGAUGAAUACUCGCUGUUAGCGAUAUACAGUUAGCGGCUAAGCGAAAGCGUUAAGUAUUCCACCUGGGGAGUACGCUCGCAAGAGUGAAACGUCAAAGGAAUUGACGGCUGAGGACAGCGAGGACGACGACGAGGGGAGGAGG
rnacentral:rRNA from 1 species